rnacentral:rRNA from 1 species
CUAAGGUAGCAUAAUCAUUAGAUUAUUAAUUGGAAUCAAGAAUAAAAGACAAAAUGAAUAAUAUUCUUUCUUCCAUAAAAAAUUCUAACCUAAUAUUUUUGUAAAAAAGCAAAAAUUUAAUUUAGGGACAAGAAGACCCUAARAAGCUUUAAAUUUUAAAUUCAUAUAAAUGUUUAAAAAUUUUUUGUUGGGGCAACAUUUAAAAAAAUAACAUUAAUUUUAUCCAAGACUCUUGAAAAAAAGAAAAAGUUACUCUAGGGAUAACAGCACAAUAAAAGAUAAAGAGAUCUCAUCUUCAUCUUUGAUUAUGACCUCGAUGUUGGAUCAAUUUUUCUAAUUGAUGAAAAAGUCAAUAA